UACGUAGGGGGCAAGCGUUGUCCGGAAUCAUUGGGCGUAAAGAGCGUGUAGGCGGCCCGAUAAGUCCGCUGUGAAAGUCCAGGGCUCAACCCUGGGAUGCCGGUGGAUACUGUCGGGCUCGAGUCCGGAAGAGGAGUGUGGAAUUCCUGGUGUAGCGGUGAAAUGCGCAGAUAUCGAGGAGGAACAGCCAAUAGGCGAAGGCAGCAGCUCUGGGACGUGACUGACGCUGAAGACGCGGAAAGCGUGGGGAGCAAACAACGG
rnacentral:rRNA from 1 species